AGCGAACGCUGGCGGCAGGCCUAACACAUGCAAGUCGAACGAACCCUUCGGGGUUAGUGGCGGACGGGUGAGUAACACGUGGGAACGUGCCUUUAGGUUCGGAAUAACUCGGGGAAACUUGUGCUAAUACCGAAUGUGCCCUUCAGGGGAAAGAUUUAUCGCCUUUAGAGCGGCCCGCGUCUGAUUAGCUAGUUGGUGAGGUAAUGGCUCACCAAGGCUACGAUCAGUAGCUGGUCUGAGAGGAUGACCAGCCACAUUGGGACUGAGACACGGCCCAAACUCCUACGGGAGGCAGCAGUGGGGAAUCUUGCGCAAUGGGCGAAAGCCUGACGCGGCCAUGCCGCGUGGAUGAUGAAGGUCUUAGGAUUGUAAAAUCCUUUCACCGGUGAAGAUAAUGACUGUAGCCGGAGAAGAAGCCCCGGCUAACUUCGUGCCAGCCGCCGCUGUAAGAC
rnacentral:rRNA from 1 species